rnacentral:rRNA from 1 species
UAGGGAAUCUUCCGCAAUGGGCGAAAGCCUGACGGAGCAACGCCGCGUGAGUGAUGAAGGUCUUCGGAUCGUAAAACUCUGUUAUUAGGGAAGAACAAAUGUGUAAGUAAUUAUGCACGUCUUGACGGUACCUAAUCAGAAAGCCACGGCUAACUACGUGCCAGCAGCCGCGGUAAUACGUAGGUGGCAAGCGUUAUCCGGAAUUAUUGGGCGUAAAGCGCGCGUAGGCGGUUUUUUAAGUCUGAUGUGAAAGCCCACGGCUCAACCGUGGAGGGUCAUUGGAAACUGGAAAACUUGAGUGCAGAAGAGGAAAGUGGAAUUCCAUGUGUAGCGGUGAAAUGCGCAGAGAUAUGGAGGAACACCAGUGGCGAAGGCGACUUUCUGGUCUGUAACUGACGCUGAUGUGCGAAAGCGUGGGGAUCAAACAGG